rnacentral:tRNA from 2 species
GGAGGCUUCGCCUAGUCUGGUCUAUGGCGCCGCACUGCUAAUGCGGUUUGGGCCCUAAAGCCCAUCGAGGGUUCAAAUCCCUCAGCCUCCGC